rnacentral:pre_miRNA from 1 species
AAGAUCGGAGCGCCCGCCCUAACCCGUAGAUCCGAACUUGUGUCCGCGCGAUGCAAAGCACAAGUUCCCCUCUGCGGGUCUGGGCUGGUCGCUUGCCAUUC